GCGGGUGUGGCGGUAUUGGCAGUACGCAUGGCACUUAAAAUGCCAUAGGGCUUAAGCUCUUACGAGUUCGAAUCUCGUCACCCGUA
rfam:Edwardsiella phage PEi20 DNA, complete sequence.